UGAAUGUUUGGACAGUUCUCUCAGGCCAUGAGGCAUCAAGCUGAGAUUACUUUAAGAAACAAAUGAGCAUGCAUUUUUCACAGAGAAAGUAAAAUAUAUGCAGAGCUUCUCUCCACAUCUACAGU